GUUCAACGGGGAGUGACUGAGUCCAUUGCAUGUCCUCGCUGCGGUGCUGUGGUCACUUCUCUCAUGUUGUCCUCGUGGGGAGGUCGGCAGGAAAGCAAGUGCAGGGAAUCUGCGAAAGAACCAGAACCUGGAAAAAAUCCUCAAUGGCUCCGGGCAUGGAUCCCUCUGCAGGAGAGAAGAGGUCCUGAAAAAUCAGGCCAUAAACUCUUUUACACUGGCUGCGGCAGCUUUGGGAAUAUUAAACGUGAUAAAAGCUCUAAAUAGGGGCCUAGUAGUCGGCCUGCCAGGAAACCAAGGAUGGGGGCCAAUGGGCAAGCUGUUUGGCUAUAUAGUGAG